CUUGCUUCUCUUGAGAGCGGCGGACGGGUGAGUAAUGCCUAGGAAUCUGCCUGGUAGUGGGGGAUAACGUCCGGAAACGGACGCUAAUACCGCAUACGUCCUACGGGAGAAAGCAGGGGACCUUCGGGCCUUGCGCUAUCAGAUGAGCCUAGGUCGGAUUAGCUAGUUGGUGGGGUAAUGGCUCACCAAGGCGACGAUCCGUAACUGGUCUGAGAGGAUGAUCAGUCACACUGGAACUGAGACACGGUCCAGACUCCUACGGGAGGCAGCAGUGGGGAAUAUUGGACAAUGGGCGAAAGCCUGAUCCAGCCAUGCCGCGUGUGUGAAGAAGGUCUUCGGAUUGUAAAGCACUUUAAGUUGGGAGGAAGGGCAGUAAAUUAAUACUUUGCUGUUUUGACGUUACCGACAGAAUAAGCACCGGCUAACUCUGUGCCAGCAGCCGCGGUAAUACAGAGGGUGCAAGCGUUAAUCGGAAUUACUGGGCGUAAAGCGCGCGUAGGUGGUUCGUUAAGUUGGAUGUGA
rnacentral:rRNA from 1 species